UGCUUGGUGGCCUCUGAUACGGCAUGAGAUUCUUGAUCUCAGGGUUGUGGGUCUGAGCCCCACCUUGGGCAA